rnacentral:rRNA from 1 species
AUUGAACGCUGGCGGCAGGCCUAACACAUGCAAGUCGAGCGGAUGAAGGGAGCUUGCUCCUGGAUUCAGCGGCGGACGGGUGAGUAAUGCCUAGGAAUCUGCCUGGUCGUGGGGGAUAACGUCCGGAAACGGGCGCUAAUACCGCAUACGUCCUGAGGGAGAAAGUGGGGGAUCUUCGGACCUCACGCUAUCAGAUGAGCCUAGGUCGGAUUAGCUAGUUGGUGGGGUAAAGGCCUACCAAGGCGACGAUCCGUAACUGGUCUGAGAGGAUGAUCAGUCACAAUGGAACUGAGACACGGUCCAGACUCCUACGGGAGGCAGCAGUGGGGAAUAUUGGACAAUGGGCGAAAGCCUGAUCCAGCCAUGCCGCGUGUGUGAAGAAGGUCUUCGGAUUGUAAAGCACUUUAAGUUGGGAGGAAGGGCAGUAAGUUAAUACCUUGCUGUUUUGACGUUACCAACAGAAUAAGCACCGGCUAACUUCGUG